AAAUAUACAUGGAUGGAGACAGUAUAAUUGAUUAAUCUGUUUAAGCGAGCUGGGAAUUGGUGGAAGCCUAGUACAGAGAACUUUUAGAGAAUCACUCCUGAGUAUCCAAUCGAUUCUAUUUAUGAGGAGAAUUGGACGUAUUGUUCCCGUUACGAACCGUCAUAGUGAAUUUAAAUUUAUCUUAAUUUAUGUUUAUAAGGGUGGUACCGCGAGUCUUCUCGUCCCUUUU
rnacentral:ncRNA from 1 species